rnacentral:rRNA from 1 species
GACGAACGCUGGCGGCGUGCUUAACACAUGCAAGUCGAGCGGAAAGGCCACUUCGGUGGUACUCGAGCGGCGAACGGGUGAGUAACACGUAGUAAUCUGCCCCUGGCUUUGGGAUAGCCACCGGAAACGGUGAUUAAUACCGGAUACGACCACUUCUCGCAUGGGAUGGUGGUGGAAAGUUUUUUCGGCCAGGGAUGUGCUCGCGGCCUAUCAGCUUGAUGGUGAGGUAAUGGCUCACCAUGGCUUCGACGGGUAGCCGGCCUGAGAGGGUGACCGGUCAUACUGGGACUGAGACACGGCCCAGACUCCUACGGGAGGCAGCGGUGGGGAAUAUUGGACAAUGGGCGGAAGCCUGAUCCAGCAACGCCGCGUGAGGGAUGACGGCCUUCGGGUUGUAAACCUCUUUCAGCAGGGACGAAGCGCAAGUGACGGUACCUGCAGAAGAAGCACCGGCCAACUACGUGCCAGCAGCCGCCGUAA